rnacentral:lncRNA from 1 species
GGAGAGGCACGCACGAACGGGUAGGGGAACGAAUGAGAAAGGGAUAUAGUAGAGAGUAGAAUAUAAAGCAAUAAAAUUUAUAAAGUGCGCACAAAGAUGCAAAAGAAAACGAGAGUAUAUUCCCCUCCUUCUCCGGCCACACUCGGCUUCUUUCACUCUUUUCCUUUUACUUUAGAUUGCUAGUGAACUUUUCUCUUCAGGAAUCGUUUGAUUGUUGCUACUGCUGCACAACUACCAGAAGCUCUAACAAACUCCAUCAACCCAUUGAAGUUUCAAAAGCCGUUACAAAAUAUUUGAGCGACAAAGAGGUAGCGAGAUUGUUCGUUUCGGUGCUCGAGUUUUCCGGUUCCGACUCUUGUUCGUACCACUGUUGUUGUUAUUAAAAGGAUGUCAUACCUUGAGGUCCAUUCUUCUCUUAACUACUUUGCCUUGAAUUACAUUAAUGAGGUGUUAGUUUUUAUUGAGUUACCCAUGAUUUAUCACUGAUUAGCUAGAGUACAUUGAUAUGAUAAUAAUUAUUUGAGUUUCCGAUUGAAUUUCUUUGGGUUGAAUACAUACUGGGAUUAUCAGUUAAUGGGUUGCAGAUGAUGCCUUAAUGAACUAAAAUAAAUUUGAGGCUAAAUAGUAGGAAAUAAAGUAAUCUCUGUUCAUGGGUUAAAUUAGUUUGUGGGUAGUGGGGGUGAUUCGGGUUAACAUAAAAGAAGGUUUGGUAUUCACAAGACAUAUUGGUUAUGCCUGAUAACUACAAAUUAAAAUGAUUUGAGCUUAAGAUGAUCUUUUUUAUUUCUUUCUUUGCUUUAUUAUUAAUAUGAUCUCUAGGAGCAUGCCUUAGGCCGACCACACAUGGGUAGGAAAUCUUUAGACUUUUUCGUUUCUUAUGAGGUUAGAGCUUGUAAAUAUUUUAUUAGGGGAAUGCCCCGAAGUACAUGUAAGUGAAGGCCAAAGACGGGAUGACACGAGGAAGUGUAGAAUAGAACUUUAGUAUUUUAUUUUUUUAUUUUUUAUUUCGUCUUUUGUUUUCUUUUUAUUUAGGUGGGGACAACCUCGAACCUUCGUUGUGCUUGUUUUUCCUUUUUGUUCGUUUUACCUUAAUUAGAAUAUUCUCAAAAGCCAACUAGAUCGAAUAUGCAACCGUACUAGUUACAAAACUCGGGGAAUGGCUAACACCUUCUCCCCGAGUCAAAUGAACCCCCUUACUCAGAAUCUCUGGUGCAGUAGUCAAACGUGUUUUGAAAGAAAAUUAUUUUUUUAAAUGGUGGCUGACACACCGAAAUCAAAUGUCUGGUGGCGACUCUGAACAAUCUUUUAAAACACAAUUUUUUCACUAUUCAUAAUUGAAAACCUUUCGAGCUUUAAAAUCGCUUUUAUCUAUUUAAAGGAGUUAAUAAGGUGAAAAAUGGGUGUAACAGCUUUGGCGACUCUACUGGAGAUCUGCAGGUUCGAGCUGAUACUUUGAUCUAGUUGGCUUUUUAGAAUAUUCGGUUGAGGUGUUUUUUGUUCUUUAUUUGCUUUUAUUUUAUUUUAUUUUAUUAUUUGCUAGUCAUUUAUGUGUUUACAGUUUUUUCUUAUGUAUUUACUGCUUUAUAACUGUCAUCAUUUGCAUAACCAUGACUCUUCUUUCUGUAACAAGUCUUUCGGAGUACGUUUGAGCGUACACAGCUUUUUUGUGAGUCACCCGUGUCUUUAGGAGGGUGGCAUGGAGUGGGCGGACAACUAGAUCUUGAGCCUGACAGAUGCCAGGACCAUCC